rnacentral:rRNA from 1 species
AUUGAACGCUGGCGGCAGGCCUAACACAUGCAAGUCGAACGAGUGGCGGACGGGUGAGUAAUGUCUGGGAAACUGCCUGAUGGAGGGGGAUAACUACUGGAAACGGUAGCUAAUACCGCAUACCAUCAGAUGUGCCCAGAUGGGAUUAGCUAGUUGGUGGGGUAACGGCUCACCAAGGCGACGAUCCCUAGCUGGUCUGAGAGGAUGACCAGCCCCAACGGAACUGAGACAAGGUCCAGAAUCCUACGGGAGGCAGCAGGGGGGAAUAUUGGAACAUGGGCGGAAGCCUGAUGCAGGCAUGCCGCGUGGAUGAAGAAGGCCUUCGGGUUGGAAAGUACUUUCAGCGGGGAGGCGGUACCCGCAGAAGAAGCACCGGCUAACUCCGUGCCAGCAGCCGCGGUAAUUC